rnacentral:sRNA from 1 species
UUGCAUGAGGGAUGGAAGCGGUAUCCUCGUCCCGAUAACUAUCGGAAUUUCUCGGGGAUUUAGCAUACAGCCCGACCCUUU